UCUCUGGUAGUCUAGUAGUUAGAGCGUCCGCCUCGAAAGCGAGAGGUCGUAGGUUCGAUCCCCUGUGAGCCAUACCAAAGAC